rnacentral:rRNA from 1 species
GAUGAACGCUAGCUACAGGCUUAACACAUGCAAGUCGCGGGGCAGCAUGUAUCUGGCUUGCCAGAUACGAUGGCGACCAGCGCACGGGUGAGUAACGCGUAUCCAACCUGCCCAUAACCACGGCACAGCCCGUCGAAAGGCGGAUUAAUGCCGUAUGAGGUUCCAGAGUAGCAUUAUUAUGGAACGAAAGGAUUGGCGGUUAUGGAUGGGGAUGCGUCCGAUUAGCUAGUUGGCGGGGUAACGGCCCACCAAGGCGACGAUCGGUAGGGGUUCUGAGAGGAACGGUCCCCCACACUGGGAACUGAGACACGGUCCAGACUCCUACGGGAGGCAGCAGUGAGGAAUAUUGGUCAAUGGGCGCAAGCCUGAACCAGCAACGCCGCGUGAAGGAAGAAGGCUUUUCGGG